rnacentral:rRNA from 1 species
AGUGAACGCUAGUGGCGUGCUUAACACAUGCAAGUCGAACGGACGAUAUUUGUGCUUGCACAAAUAAAGUUAGUGGCAAACGGGUGAGUAAUACAUGAGAAUUUUCCUUGCAGUACGGAAUAACUAUUGGAAACAGUAGCUAAUACCGUAUAUUGCCGAGAGGUGAAAGAUUUAUCGCUGCAAGAUAAGCCCAUGCAAGAUUAGCUUGUUGGUGAGGUAACGGCUCACCAAGGCUUCGAUAGAUAGGGGUUCUGAGAGGAAUAUCCCCCACACUGGUACUGAGACACGGACCAGACUCCUACGGGAGGCAGCAGUGAGGAAUAUUGGACAAUGGGCGCAAGCCUGAUCCAGCCAUGCCGCGUGCAGGAAGAAAGCCCUAUGGGUUGUAAACUGCUUUUAUUCACGAGGAAUAAAUCUCUUGCGAGGGAUUUUGACGUUAGUGUUUGAAUAAGCACCGGCUAACUCCGUGCCAGCCGCCGCCGUAACAC